ACAAAAACAAACAAAAAUAU
rnacentral:sRNA from 1 species